rnacentral:rRNA from 1 species
AGUGAACGCUGGCGGUAGGCCUAACACACGCAAGUCGAACGGCAGCACAGUAAGAGCUUGCUCUUACGGGUGGCGAGUGGCGGACGGGUGAGGAAUACAUCGGAAUCUACUUUUUCGUGGGGGAUAACGUAGGGAAACUUACGCUAAUACCGCAUACGACCUACGGGUGAAAGCAGGGGAUCUUCGGACCUUGCGCGAUUGAAUGAGCCGAUGUCGGAUUAGCUAGUUGGCGGGGUAAAGGCCCACCAAGGCGACGAUCCGUAGCUGGUCUGAGAGGAUGAUCGGCCACACUGGAAGUGAGACACGGUCCAGAGUCCUACGGGAGGCAGCAGUGGGGAAUAUUGGACAAUGGGCGCAAGCCUGAUCCAGCCAUACCGCGUGGGUGAAGAAGGCCUUCGGGUUGUAAAGCCCUUUUGUUGGGAAAGAAAAGCAGCAGGUUAAUACCCCGCUGUUCUGACGGUACCCAAAGAAUAGGCACCGGCUAACUUCGU